rnacentral:rRNA from 1 species
AUGAACGCUGGCGGCGUGCCUAAUACAUGCAAGUCGAGCGAACAGAUGAGGAGCUUGCUCCUCUGACGUUAGCGGCGGACGGGUGAGUAACACGUGGAUAACCUACCUAUAAGACUGGGAUAACUUCGGGAAACCGGAGCUAAUACCGGAUAAUAUAUUGAACCGCAUGGUUCCAUAGUGAAAGACGGUUUUGCUGUCACUUAUAGAUGGAUCCGCGCCGCAUUAGCUAGUUGGUAAGGUAACGGCUUACCAAGGCAACGAUGCGUAGCCGACCUGAGAGGGUGAUCGGCCACACUGGAACUGAGACACGGUCCAGACUCCUACGGGAGGCAGCAGUAGGGAAUAUUCCGCAAUGGGCGCAAGCCUGACGGAGCAACGCCGCGUGAGUGAUGAAGGUCUUCGGAUCGUAAAACUCUGUUAUUAGGGAAGAACAAAUGUGUAAGUAACUAUGCACGUCUUGACGGUACCUAAUCAGAAAGCCACGGCUAACUACGUG